rnacentral:tRNA from 1 species
GAAGGGUUUUAAUUGAACUGCUAACUCUCAUACCUGAAAUUAAAACCUCAGACCCUUC